rnacentral:rRNA from 1 species
UGGGGAAUAUUGCACAAUGGGGGAAACCCUGAUGCAGCGACGCCGCGUGAGCGAAGAAGGUUUUCGAAUCGUAAAGCUCUGUCCUAUGAGAAGAUAAUGACGGUAUCAUAGGAGGAAGCCCCGGCUAAAUACGUGCCAGCAGCCGCGGUAAUACGUAUGGGGCGAGCGUUGUCCGGAAUUAUUGGGCGUAAAGGGUACGUAGGCGGUCUAUUAAGUCAGGUGUGAAAGCGUGAGGCUUAACCUCAUUAAGCACUUGAAACUGAUAGACUUGAGUGAAGGAGAGGAAAGUGGAAUUCCUAGUGUAGCGGUGAAAUGCGUAGAUAUUAGGAGGAAUACCGGUGGCGAAGGCGACUUUCUGGCCAUAAACUGACGCUGAGGUACGAAAGCGUGGGUAGCAAACAGG